GUGUUUUUCAUAGACAUUGGUAGAAGCUGCCAAAGUCUGAGGUUUUUUUUUUGUUUUUUUUGUGAUGAUGAUGGCUUUGUCUAUCAGGACUGCCUGUAAAAACCAGUCCCCGUGCAGAUCAGUGAGGAGGAGCCCCACCACCUCUUAUCCA